UACGUAGGGCGCAAGCGUUGUCCGGAAUUAUUGGGCGUAAAGAGCUCGUAGGCGGCUUGUCACGUCGGCUGUGAAAACCCGGGGCUCAACCCCGGGCCUGCAGUCGAUACGGGCAGGCUAGAGUUCGGUAGGGGAGACUGGAAUUCCCGGUGUAGCGGUGAAAUGCGCAGAUAUCGGGAGGAACACCGGUGGCGAAGGCGGGUCUCUGGGCCGAAAC
rnacentral:rRNA from 1 species